GACGAACGCUGGCGGCGUGCUUAACACAUGCAAGUCGAACGAAGUGGCGAACGGGUGAGUAACGCGUAAUCAACCUGCACUUCAGAGGGGGACAACAGUUGGAAACGACUGCUAAUACCGCAUACUGAGGGAGGGGAUUGCGUCGGAUUAGCUAGUUGGAGGGGUAACGGCCCACCAAGGCGAUGAUCAGUAGCCGGUCUGAGAGGAUGAACGGCCACAUUGGGACUGGGGCACGGCCCAGACUCCUACGGGAGGCAGGAGUGGGGAAUCUUCCGCAAUGGACGAAAGUCUGACGGAGCAACGCCGCGUGAGUGAUGACGGCUUUCGGGUUGUAAAGCUCUGUUAGUCGGGACGCGGUACCGGAAUAGAAAGCCACGACUAACUACGUGCCAGCCGCCGCGGUAAUUC
rnacentral:rRNA from 1 species